UUGGAUGUGGUUAGCGGGGCCUCAUCAAC
rnacentral:piRNA from 1 species